CUUUCCAAACUAAGAAAAGCCUGUUUCGCAGGCACCGCGUGGAUGAAAGUGACCUACAACUAAUGGUCUUGUGUUCCAAGUAACCAAUGAGCAUCCCCCAUCCCCCGCCAUCCUUAGAGCCAAACAUCAACUGGGAAACUUCCUGCGAGUUCUUUGAGACUAAGUGGAGUUUUUGUUUCCUGAGCUUUGAUAACAGAUGUGAUCACGGUGCCCGGUGGGUGUGCAGCCAGCUGUGAGCUCCGAGAGAAAGUCACCACAGGUGCCGUAGCACUGAAGUUUGGAGGUGAAGCCAUACUGACAGCUCCAUUGCCAAGGGACUGAACGCUGCCUGUAAGGACCUGCUGUACUGGGGUAGGGCUGAAGACGAUUGAAGGAGGAGAGCCCGGCUUCUGUGACUGUAGCAGGACAUUUUCUUUCAGUACUGUCAUGGGCUGUGACGAUGGAAUGGCUUGUAAAAUAAAUUUCUGCGGCCCUGCACCUGA